GUUACUGCUUGUAAAAAUAAUUUUUUUAGCAUGUUUAAUCUGUCAUACAAUGCCACGAUGGCUUCUAUGUUUUAAUCGGUCAUACAAUGCCAUAAUGGUUUCUAUUUUUCUUCCUUUAUCUAUCUUCUGCUCAAGAAAGUAAUGCUCAAGCCAUUAAAAUGAUAAGAUCAGUCGUCAAUGACAAUUCCAAACUAUAUCAACUAAAGCAAUCUUUUACAUGGUAAUAAGAAAUUGNUAAAUUUUGAAAGAAGAAUAUAGAUCUGUCCACGAGAUCACAAAAUUUACAGCACUUGUUGCUGCAAGUCAUCAUAAUCAUCCAAGAGGAGUCUUUUUAGUUCAUUGCAUCAUAAUCAUCCAACUUCUCAUUGUACUCCAGCACCUUUCUCUUUAUCUUGGACGUAUCUACCCAAGUGAUGAAAUCUUCCAUAUUCCUUGUAACCAAGAAUGCUGGGUCAGUAACUGUCUCCGGACCAACUCGAAUGUGACCCUGCUCAAUGUAUGUGACGGCUUCUUUCAAAUGCUCAGCAAACUUCAAUCGCAUUAAAACAGUUGAAAGCCUUCGUCUGCAGAAUGAUGACACUGACAAACGAUCACACAAAGCCAGGCUUUUCCUGGUUGAUAUCACUCCCAUGUUAUAGAGUUUCUCCAAAAGCAUAUCAGUCAUUUCAACUCGAAAAGGGUCUUUAGGAUCCAUCUGCUUCAAUAUGCUGACCAACUUCUGCACCAUCCGGCACAAACUCGAAUACUUCUUGUAAUCAUCCCGCUCGACUAUGUGGUAACGAUGCAUAACAUUGGCUUCUCUGUGGUCGCCCUCCCUCUUCCAUUGCAAGAAAUUUACCUUCUUCAGUAGCUUUUGCUCAUGAAACUUUAGCUUCCUCAUUCUUCAAUCUGCGAUGGAUUGCUUAUGUGAUGCGGGAAGGAUGAGUGGCAGCGGAUUGCUUCGGUGCAGCAGCGAGGUUGAGGGGCAGGCGACGCUUUGCCUCUGUGCUGCGGCGAGAUUGAGGAGCGGGGGAUUCUUCUUUGCAGUGAAGAGAUUGAGAGGCGGAGCAGAUUGGUUCUGUGCAGAGGCGAGACUGAGGGACGGCGGACGGAUUGGAUGGAGGAACGGAUGGCAAUGAGCUUACUGAGUGAAUCGAGAGAGUCUGAGAGUGAAUAGCGGGAAAGCGUGAGACGGUGCUAACGAUGGGAUGAAGACUUAGGUUUAGGUUUACGUUUUUU
rnacentral:misc_RNA from 1 species